rnacentral:lncRNA from 1 species
AUGUCGCAGCCCCUACCUUGCUCCUGGACUUUCAUGCUUUCCUCUGUGUUCCAACGUUCCUGGGAAAUCAUAUUCAUUCUGUCUAUAUCCAGUAAUGAAGAGAGAAGGAGUGUCUUCAUCUGGAAAGGAUACAAGGAAUCAACCACGGUUGCGUCUACUUUCAAUGGCUGUAUUUGGAGUUGCAGUUUUCAGAAACUAGAAGCUCAGAGGAGAAGCCCUGCAAAGUACAGCACAGAACUCCAAGGAACAGAAACACCUUUGCAGGUGUCACCUCUGAGGGAAUACAGCAAGUUACUAUUUUUGUGUGUGCUGGAAGAAACUAGAGGCUGAAGCCAAUUUCAGAGGCUACCCUGACAAGCUCUUCUGGAGCCAUAUAGCUAGGAGCAGCAAGCAAGCUAGAAAAGGGAAGUUUUGUUUUUUCUUCAUCUUCCUGCCUUCCAUUUUCUCUAAAAACCCCUUUGGGCAGUGAAACCAAGAAGCCAGGUGGUAAAAAUAAAUUUAUUUUGUAAAGUCAUAUUCCAAACAUCACAAAGCAAAAAAUAGAAGAGGAGAUAAGAAGGCAAGAGAAAAUAACCUAACAAUAAGCCCAUGAAGCUGUAUAUUAGACUUCAAACUCAAUUACAAACUUUUUGAAACCAAAGACCUUCUCUAGUGUCUAUCAAAAUGAGCAGAAAAUUAAAGGUGCUUGAAACUCUGUGCUGAAUUGAAAUGAUCUAUUCAUUUUUAAAUUAAUUCUACAAAUGUUUAUGGAGAACAAAUAUUUAUUAUAGACUCACUUGCAGGAUAUUUCAGAUAAAAAUAUGAAUAAGAUACCAUCUCUCCUUUCAGAUAAUUUACAACCUAAUGAGAAAAAUAGAUUGUAAAGAAAAGCAAUAAAUAAGUUUUAGUAGUCAGUGUGAUAUUUGUACCGUGGGGACCAAGAUACUGGGAAAGGGAGAAAAAGGAUUCAGAUUGAAAAGAUGGAUAUUUAUUCCACUUGGUUAACAAUAAGCAUCGUUCCAGCUAUUGCUCUAGGCUUUGGGCAUAAAAUGGUGACUGCAAGGGACAAAAUCCCCGCCCUUCACUGGGCUUAUAGACUGGUGAAGAGUAUAGACAAGGAAGAAGAACCUAGCCUCAUCUGCUCUACUGUUGUAUCAUAAAGAUAUUGAUCAUAGGAUGGGUUCAGCAGGCCAGUCCAGCUCCACAGACAAUCAUUAAUGUCUUCCUGUUCCAUGUGUAUUAUCGCUUAAUUUCUGUGUACACUCGAAAAUGAGAGGAGCUCACUUGACACCAUUCAUGCUUUUGUUCUAGCCUCAAACAGCAUGAAGAGGCAAUGACUUUGCAGUGACCCCAGUGGGCAGCAAAAUUAAAUCACUCCAAAGAAUAAUACUUUGCUAUUUAACUGGUCUGUCAGUGGUGUCACCACCUCCAGAUCUGGCAAGAAAACCAAAUAUCUGCGAAAUAGGCAGAUAGCACAGUACUUUUAAAACUACAGAAAUUCUACUGCUGGUAUAUGAUGGGGGGAAGUGGGCUUCAACUUGGAAUUCAGAUAGAUUCCUGUCUGCAUUGGGAAUCAUUUACUCACCAGUAUACUACAGCCUAAUUAUUUAAAUUGUCUGUGCCUCUGCAUCUCAUCAGAAACAUGAGAAUAAUAUAGCACCUAUGUUAUAUAAUUAUUUGGGGAUUAAAUAAAUAUCUUUACUGUCCCUGAUACCCUAUCUGGACUUUUGUAAAUUCAGACAUGAUAAGCCCAUGCCAUUACACCCUUUACAUUCUUUGGAUUGGUUUAAUGGUGAAUUCCACUAUCAGGUCAACUCUAAAAGUUGUAUAGACUAGAUACCAAUCUCACAGUAUAGCUGAAGAAAACAAAUAACAAAUUUUUUUUUUCCUUUUUUUGGUGGGGGAUAAAAUCUUGUUGUUAUAAAUCCAUGACAGAGCCUCAUCUACAAACCCGGACUUCUGAUUCCUAGUGGUAUUAAUUAUAGAUAGAAAAGGAAAAAGCACAUGCAUUUUAGAAUAAAUGUGCAAACAGAGAAACAAAUAAAUAAAUGAGCCAAUAAGUGAAGAAAUACAAUAAUAAGCUGGUGUGUUUUUAUUACAGCAAUGCUCGCUCAUUUUGAUUAAUAUUAUGUGAAAGUACCAGACCUUAAUAAUAAGGCUAAUUCCAAUGAAAGGUGGUAUACAAUUGUUAUUAACCAUUUCACACCAACAUGCAAACUGAAACUGAAUGUAUUCAGAGUGUAGAAUAGACUGUAUGCUUUUUUUUUUUUUUUUUUUUUUUUUGGAGACAGAGUCUCACUCUGUCACCAGGCUGAAGUGCAGUAGCAUGAUCUUGGCUCACUGCAACCUCUGCCUCCCAGGUUGAAGCGAUUCUCCUGCCUCAGUCUCCCGAGUAGCUGGGAAUACAGGCCCGCAACACCACACCCGGCUAAUUUUUGUACUUUUAGUAGAGACAGGGUUUCACCAUGUUGGCCAGGAAGGUCUCGAUCUCCUGACCUCAUGAUCUGCUCACCUCAGCCUCAAAAAGUGCUGUAUGAAUGUUUCGGGUUAUCUUUAGAGAAUAAGACAUAUCCACACUUGCAAUACUAAAGCAACCAUGUUGCACAUAUUCUCAGAGAAACAAAACAGUGACCAAAUCAAAAAGAGGCAUGCUGUCAGGGAAAGCUGGUCCUCCAACUCAGGUUUCCUACAAUUAUGAAUAGAGAGACCUGAAUUUUCAGGGGUUACUUUGUUUAACUUAAAAAAAAAUGAAUAAAAAUGCAAAAACUCUAAUAGAAACCAUGUUGCUUUUUUGUUUCCAGAAGGGAUUACAAUAUUAUUCCUAAUUUUAUAUGCCCCACUCCUUGAAAAGGGAAUCUGAAUAAGGGAAGGAAGAAAGAAAAUGACAACAGUUUUGUUUUAACUUUUCAGAGCAGCAAACAGUAACAAAGACAUUUCCACUUGAAAAGAAAAAUACGUAUUUCUCCCCAUGGCUAAGGAAAACCACCUUAUUAAACUUCAUAGUCAUGGAACACAGUUGGAAAAGUAUUACUCAGUGGGAGCUUUUAACCUGCAACUGGUGGGUACUAAAAUCUCCAGAGAAUGAGUAGGUCCUAUGAUAUCUUAAAAAGAGAUGGAAAAGAGAAAAGCACAGUGAAACUCCAAUGGAGGUUGGUUGCCUCAGAUUACAACAAUUAUAGGAACAAAUGAGAAAUAUUUACUUACAUUGAAAGUUGCUGAGCUUUGCAAAGGAAUCAAACCUGUUCUUCUGUGAAGCAGGUGUUAAUUUUUGAGAUGACUAUUGACCAAUGCUAUCUGUUAGAGAUGAUGAAAAAUAGUGUUGUGUAGGUAUACUCUGAGACGUCACCACAAUGCGCCGUCCUAUUCCCUUUGACAGUGGCAGAAGCAGCCUAGCUGAAAGAAGUACAAAAGAAUGUUAUAGCACACCAUACUAGUGAGAAAAUAGUAUUUGUUUAGGAUUUUAACACACCUAUUCUCUUUUCUUUGAAGACUACAUCUAAGAAACUGUCUUGGUUUAUGUGUUCUGCUAUUUCUCCAAAUAUAGUGGGGUAAGGACUUCUCUGAGCUAAGUGUCUGAUCACGGUACCCACUGAAAACUAUGACACCUUUGGCCCUGUCAGGUUUUACUUUUUGAUUUGGUCACUGUUUUGUUUCUCUGAGAAUAUGUGCAAAUUGUUGCUUUAGUAUUGCAAAAUGACUGCCUUAGUAUUGCAAGAUGCUCACUUUGUGUGUGAGAGUGUGGCUAUGUGUUAUUCUCUAGAGAUAG